UGGGGAAUUUUGCGCAAUGGGCGAAAGCCUGACGCAGCAACGCCGCGUGAGUGAUGAAGGUCUUCGGAUCGUAAAGCUCUGUCGGCAGGAGAGACGGGUAGGUUGGAUAACACCCAGCCGACCUGACGGUACCUGCAAAGGAAGCACCGGCUAACUCUGUGCCAGCAGCCGCGGUAAGACAGAGGGUGCAAGCGUUGUUCGGAAUUAUUGGGCGUAAAGCGCGCGUAGGCGGUUGGAUAAGUCGAAUGUGAAAUCCCGUGGCUCAACCAUGGAAGUGCAUUCGAAACUGUCUGACUGGAGUGUCGGAGAGGGUGGUGGAAUUCCCAGUGUAGAAGUGAAAUUCGUAGAUAUUGGGAGGAACACCAGUGGCGAAGGCGACCACCUGGACGACAACUGACGCUGAGGCGCGAGAGCGUGGGGAGCAAACAGG
rnacentral:rRNA from 1 species